rnacentral:lncRNA from 1 species
UUUGUUAUAGUUAAGUUUUUGUGUUUUGGUCUGUUUUUCUCAUACUUUAUGCAAUAGGUCCACUAUAUUUGUUGUAUGGAAUGAUUGUAAGGUGUACAUGUCUAGCGGGCAGAUGUCAUCUGACCUUGACCUCAUUUUCAUGGUUCAGUGGUCAAAGUUAAGUUUAUAAGUUUUGGUCUUUUUAUCUAAUAUUAUAUGCCAAAGGUCAACUAUAUUUGGUGUAUGGAAAUAUAUUAUGAUUUAUAUGUCAGUCCUGCAGGUUUUAUUUGACCAUGACCUCAAUUGCACGG